UACGUAGGGUGCAAGCGUUGUCCGGAAUUAUUGGGCGUAAAGAGCUCGUAGGCGGUUUGUCGCGUCUGCUGUGAAAACUCGGGGCUUAACUCCGGGCCUGCAGUGGGUACGGGCAGACUAGAGUGCGGUAGGGGAGACUGGAAUUCCUGGUGUAGCGGUGAAAUGCGCAGAUAUCAGGAGGAACACCGGUGGCGAAGGCGGGUCUCUGGGCCGUAACUGACGCUGAGGAGCAAAAGCGUGGGGAGCGAACAGG
rnacentral:rRNA from 1 species